GAUGUUAAAAUGGCGAAAUCCAACCAAGCUCGGGUAAACGGCGGGAGUAACUAUGACUCUCUUAAACGGCGGGAGUAACUAUGACUCUCUUAAACACCUUGAGAGAAACAGGGGGCAGAUGUGGAGAGCUCACCCUUCAAAUCCAUGUCUGUGUUACCCUCUAGUACACCCAGCGUCUGAGAUGGGGAAGUCCCUAAUGUCAGGUUUCAGGGUGACAGUGCUCUCCUGCCUAAAAGGGGGGAGCCAGUGUGCCAGCUGGGGUGCAACACCACCUGGUUCGAGGAGGGCUCUCACGGGCUAAUCUCGAUGUGAGGCAGAGUAGCGUCUGCCCGCGGUAACGUGCGGAAAGGGGUGGGUCGGGCUUGGGGCAACCCAGUCUUGGCCUAAGGAACGUACUAUUCCCACACGAGCCUCCUUAGGCGAAGUGUGCUUGGUAGAUAAGGGCUGACACCCGAGGCUACUGGGGGAUCCAUCUUAGGGGGAAGUCGAACAUAUCCCUAAGAAACAUGGUCUGGUUGUGGAUUAAAGAAGGUAGCCAAAUGCCUCGUCAUCAUACGUACCGUACGUCUAACGUACAUGUUUGCUUACCGCGUUCACGACACAAGGGCAGCUUCGGACCGACUGGACCCCCGGCAGGGGGACCGACUGGGCCGGGGAGGCUUGAGUGGCACCGGGUCCGAGGGCUGGGGGGGGGGCACUCCCCCCGGUCUCGAAGGCUUGCACCAAAUUGCACGAAGGGCCCCCUCUCGGGGGGGCCUGACGAGCAGCCAACCCCGACUCCCGCCUUUAAAAGCGGGGGGAGGGGAGGUUCAGAGACUAUACGGUGCUAGGUGGGGCGGCAGCCCUGCCGAGGAGAAAUAGUCCGUCGCCAGGCCUGGAAAAGCUGUAUAGACGUGUGGCUUGUCUGACCCUUGGGCCCCUCCGACCGCCUUGGCGGGUGGGGGGGACCGGACCAGGGGGAGGGCAUCGGCCAGUGGUCCGGUUGCUUUGUACAGGCCGCUAUCAGACGUUAAUUUGUGACGCGCAUGAAUGGAUUAAUGAGAUUCCCACUGUCCCUACCUACUAUCUAGCGAAACCACAGCCAAGGGAACGGGCUUGGCACAAUUAGCGGGGAAAGAAGACCCUAAAUCUCAAUGGGGUCAACAGGGGGCAAGCAUGGAGAGCUCACUCUUCAAAUCCGUGCUUGUGCGACCCCCUAGUCAAGCUGGCUACAGCCGAAGGGCCCGCUAUAGCGAGGGCCUGGAGGCAAUGCAAGCAGCCAGCUGGCGAGACAACCUGGUACGAGGGAAGCUUCCCCCACCCCUCGGGGAGGGGGGGGUCAUCUCGUGGCGAGCCCUCUUAGCGGGGGGCCGUCGUAACGCGCGGAAAGGUGUCGGUCUGGGCCCUCUCGGGGGCCUGGGCUUAAGGAACGUGCUAAUCCCACACGACACCCGCAAGGGUCGAGUGUGUCUGCCAGGGAAGGGCUUGCAUCCCGAGCCUGGUGGAGACUGUGCUGUGGGCGAGGGGGACUGAUCCCCCCCUUGUCCGUAGCUCGACCUGGGGAGCAAAUGCCCCAGGUGAAGCCGGUAUACAUGGUUGAGCUUGACUCUAGGCACAGAAGCGAGGUGAUUCUAAAGGUGUAGCAUAGGUGGGAGGACCUGGUCCGCCCUUGAAUACCACCACUUUCGACAUUGCUUUGCUAAUGCUGUAACGAACGAACGGCCCCCGGGCUGUUCAGGCCGCAAGGUCUGGGCUCCCGGUAAGGUCAUAUUCUAGCGCUUUCCUGGCUGGUCAUGAUGGCUUGGCUCCUCUGGGUGAGUACUCUGGGACCGCAAACUGGGCUUCCGGGUCUGGUGCGCGCUGCUCUUGGGGGAACCAGAGAUGGUUGGGCUGCCCUCUGUCUGGCGUCAAAAUGGGUACGUAAGCCGUGUAGCAGACACUCUGUGUUGGGGAGUUUGGCUGGGGCGGAAAACUGCUACACGGCAACGGCAGUCUCCUAAGGUCCGCUCAGAGACGACAGAAACGCCUCGUAGAGCAUAAAGGCAAAAGCGGGCUUAACUUACAUUUUCAGUAGUAAUGUGAAGCAAGAAAUUGAGGCUUAACGAUCCUUAGCGUCGGGUGCCAGCCCACGCUUGAGGUGAGAGAAAAGUUACCACAGGGAUUGAUCAAUCAAGGUACGGCAGGCAAGGCAGGGAGACAAGGGAACUGGGGACGAGCCGCUAGGCCAGCAGCAUUGACCCCCCGACCCCCGUAAUCCCCGCCUUGUCUAGGUAGGCGAAGGCUAGGCGCAACAAACAGGCUUGUAAGGGUUAGAAGCAUGAAGCAUGGCGAAAGCAGACAAGGAACGAUGCAGACCCUCUCUCGAGGCUCCGUUUGCGGCUUAGCCCAGCACAUCACGUGCAUGGGCCGGCGGAACGGGUGGAAGAGCAGAGGCGAGUCACUUGGUUGCGAAAGCCCUCGACGUCGGUGCAGACCCCCCCGCAAGGGGGCGAGCCGGUCGUGGUGAAAGCUGCAGCGUGCUGCUCUGGUAAGCCCCCGGCUUCGGCUGGGGGGGAGCUGGGGUGGUUGUGCCUCCGGUCAGACCCGUCAGCUUCGGCUGUGAAGGGAGCUGGAGGACUCGCUGUGGUGGAAGCGGCUUCAGUCCAAUGCUGCAGUGUGCCAUACCCCCGGUCAGACCCGUCAGUUUCGGCUGUGAAGGGAGCUGGGGAUUGGACCAAACACACUGUGGCGGGAGGACAGCUUUACUUGGGUUACAAGGGCAAACUCACUCGUUGACAAGGACCCCCAUCUAUCAUACCUCGUACUUUACCGGGAAAGGGCAUUGCGCCCAGCACCGGGGGCACUUGGGAGGGGUGGGGCGAGUCAGCUUGUGCGGGAGCCUUAUCCAUUUUACCCCGGCACCUGGCACUUAGAUUCUUCAAGCUUAAAGGCGGCAAAAGCUGAUGGACUCCCUGCCCUCGGGCGGGGGAAGACUGUCAGUCUUGGGCAUGUCCUAUAGGUUCCAAACCGUAGUUGGGCUGGGGAGAAGCGCAGGUUUCCCCGGCCUGGCAACACACCUGGAUGCUGGGAAAGUCCAUAUACAACAGCGUACGUACCAACCGUUCCCCGGUGACACCGGGGCGUGAAGCGUGCUUGUCCCCCGCUAAGGGGCCCACCUUCGGGAGGGCCUGGGGGAGGAGCGUGCUGGUAAUAACCGUGCGUCUGGGACCCAUCAGCAGGCAACAAGGUCACUCAAAGGGUUGGGCGAAAGCGAGUCUGGACUAGCGCCUCGGCGCGACCCCCGGGCCGGUCCCCUAUACCGUAAUGGCAACAGUGACUGCGUGCUUCAACGACUGGAAAGGUGUGGGCCCGAGUGGGCUGCCCUUGCCCUGUCCUCUUCCCUCUGCCCCCUUCGGGGGGCAGACCAAGGGCGGGGGGCGGGGUGGGAGGUGGUCCGCACAGGCUUAUGGUACAGUCUACUCCCACGGCUACGAGGAUAACCCGUUUCAACCCCCCCUCGGGGGGGAGGGGGCGGGUGAGCUCCGGCUGUGCUUCAUUCCACCGGUUAGUGCCCAAGGCGGAAGCCUGGCCUUUCCCCGUUGCCCCACUAGGGGAAGCGGGGGGGGGUUGGGCUGGGCACUUUCCACAACCCACCACUGCAGGGUUAGGUUUGAGGGAGGCGGUUGGCUUCUGUUUGAGUACGGACCCGGGGUCUUUUCACCCCCGGGCAGCCCGAAAGGAAGCUGGCACCUUGGUCCGAGGAACUGGCUUGUGGCCGCCAAGCGUUCAUAGCGACGUGGCUUUUUGAUCCUUCGAUGUCGGCUCUUCC
rnacentral:rRNA from 1 species